GUCGGCUCGGCGGACGGUAGCUUUCCGGUCACGUCGCUCGAAAGGUCGGUUGGGCUGCACUUGAGUGGCUCGUGCGGGCUUCUCGACAUUCUUCCGUUGUUAGAAAGCUGAUGCCGCCAGGAUGUUUGGCUACGGCAGCUACUGUUGCGUAGCCUGGUGCGGAAACAAUGGGAGAACGCGCAAGAAGCCAGGAACAAAGUUCUUCCGAGUUCCACGAGACGACAGGUCAAAGGCAUGGCUGAGGUAUGCCAAAAGAGACGACCUUCUGCGAAAAUCGUCCAGUGAGCUGCAUGCGAAGUAUUUCGUC